rnacentral:rRNA from 1 species
CUACACAUGCAAGUUGCACGGCGCCAUGCCUCUCGAGGAAUGGCGGAGUGGCGGACGGGUGAGGAACGCGUAAGGACCUGCCCCUGGGAGGGGGAUAACAGCUGGAAACGGCUGCUAAUACCCCAUAUCCUGAGGAGGGAAAGGAGAGAUCCGCCCAGGGAGGGGCUUGCGUCUGAUUAGCUAGUUGGGGGGGUAAUGGCCUCCCAAGGCAACGAUCAGUUGCUGGUCUGAGAGGAUGAUCAGCCACACUGGGACUGAGACACGGCCCAGACUCCUACGGGAGGCAGCAGUGAGGAAUCUUCCGCAAUGGGCGAAGGCCUGACGGGGCAAUGCCGCGUGGAGGAUGAAGGCCCAAUGGGUCGUAAACUUCUUUAGAUCAGAGACGAAGAGAUGACGGUACCUGAAGAACUAAGCAUCGGCUAAACCCCGUGCCAGCAGCCGCGGUAAGACGGGGGAUGCGAGCGUUACCCGGAAUGAUUGGGCGUAAAGGGUCCGCAGGUGGCCCGGUCAGUCCGCUGUCAAAACCUGGGGCUCAACCCCGGACAGGCGGCGGAGACCACCGGGCUUGAGUCCGGUAGGGGCAGAGGGAAUUCCCGGUGGAGCGGUGAAAUGCGUAGAGAUCGGGAAGAACGCCAAGGGCGAAGGCACUCUGCUAGGCCUGAUUUCGCGACUGACACUCAGGGACGAGAGCCAGGGGAGCGAAUGGGAUUAGAUACCCCAGUAGUCCUGGCCGUAAACGAUGGAUACCAAGCCCUGCGCGUAUCGACCCGGGCAGGGCUGUAGCUAACGCAU